rnacentral:snRNA from 1 species
AGUGGACGAGGUCCUUGCGAUCGCGAGCGGCGAGGUAGACCGCGCCGUGGUGCAGGCCGGCAACAAAGAGGAGGACGCAGAGGAGGGCCACCGCG